AACCUGCGGUCACCCAGAAAGCCCAUCACCAAUCUGCCAUCCUGGCCACCUUCCUAGGCGGAAUAAAAUCGGGCUGACCGGCCAAGGAGCCUGUCAGCUUCCAGGGCCAUCUCUUCAUGCCUCAGCCAGAACUUCAUUCUCCGCAGCGCAGAACGGUCCUGCAGCCCCGGCUUCCUCUGCACCAGAGGUGGGCCUCGUUCAAUCAGCUGAAGAGGAAAAGACUGAUGUCCUCGAGACAGAGGGAAUUCUGCCUCCAGAAGGGCCAGACUCCGCCCUUCCCGGUUCCCACCCUGUGGCUGCGCUGGACACCUCAGACUUAUGGCCUCCAUGAUCCCCUGACUGUCUCUCCCUCCCUCCUUCCCCCGCUCACUGAGUCUGUAUCAAACCUUUACUCUCUCUUUAUAUUAUAGCACACUUGGCACGAUCUUGAUACAAGUCAUUUACUAUUGACUGAAGUGUAGCCGUCGUAACAAUCCCAUCAGAUGCUAUGGAGCACUUCUAUUGUGUUCCAGGGACCCUCCUAAGUAGCUUUCCUGGUGUGAAUUGAUGUAAUCUUCACAAGGAUCUAGGAGGCAGGCACUGUUCUACCCUGUUUCAUAGUAUAAGGCACAGAGACAUCCAGUAACCUGCCCAGGGACCCAGAGAGGUACUGGAGGCACGGUUAAAACUCAGACGUGUAUAAACACAAAUAUGAAAGCUGGGUUUGCUUCAGGGAAGCACCAUCAUGUAUCAGUUGGAAUGCCAUCCCCCAAGUCUCUUACAGUUCAAUAAAGGACAGUGAGCUAACGGUGCAGA